rnacentral:rRNA from 1 species
AGUACGCUUUACACACGCUAACGAGUAGCAAUUGGAGGGCAAGUCUGGUGCCAGCAGCCGCGGUAAUUCCAGCUCCAAUAGCGUAUAUUAAAGUUGCUGCGGUUAAAACGCUCGUAGUUGAAUUGUGGUCUUAGACAACAGUCCCCCUACAUAGGUGUGGCACGGUUGCUCGAGAUCUUCAUUCGUGGUUGCUGUUGUUGCUCUUCAUUGAGUGUCAAUGGUGCCUCGAGAUUUUACUUUGAAAAAAUUAGAGUGCUCAAAGCAGGUUGUGAUGCCUGAAUAAUGUGCAUGGAAUAAUAGAAUGCGAUCUCGGUUCUAUUUUGUUGGGUUUUCGAACCGGAGAUAAUGAUUGAACGAGCAGACGGGGGCAUUCGUAUUGCUGCGUUAGAGGUGAAAUUCUUGGAUCGCAGCAAGAUGAACAAUUGCGAAAGCAUUUGCCAAGAAUGUUUUCAUUAAUCAAGAACGAAAGUUAGAGGUUCGAAGGCGAUCAGAUACCGCCCUAGUUCUAACGGUAAACUAUGCCAACCAGCGAUUCGCCGAAGUUCAUUUAAGACUCGGCGAGCAGCUUCCGGGAGCCAAAGUGUUUCGGUGCCGGGGGAAGUAUGGUUGCAAAGCUGAAACUUAAAGGAAUUGACGGAAGGGCACCACCAGGAGUGGAGCCUGCGGCUUAAUUUGACGCAACACGGGAAAACUCACCCGGCCCGGACACUGGAAGGAUUGACAGAUUGGCGGCUCUUUCUUGAUUCAGUGGGUAGUGGUGCAUGGCCGUUCUUAGUUGGUGGAGCGAUUUGUCUGGUUAAUUCCGAUAACGAACGAGACUCUACCCUAUUAAAUAGUGAUAGUAUUGUAUUUUUUGUGCUGAUCACUUCUUAGAGGGACUGGCAAAUUGAAAGCUGCACGAAAAAGAGCAAUAACAGGUCUGUGAUGCCCUUCGAUGUCCGGGGCUGCACGCGCGCUACAAUGAAAGCGUCAACGUGAGUUACGUCCUUACCUGAAAAGGUUUGGCAAUCGAAUGAAACGUUUUCUUGAAUGGAAUAGGGAAUUGCAAUUGUUUCCCUUGAACGAGGAAUUCCCAGUAAGCGUGAGUCAUUAGCUCGCGUUGAUUACGUCCCUGCCCUUUGUACACACCGCCCGUCGCUACUACCGAUUGGAUGAUUUAGUGAGGUGUUUUGACUGGCGCCAGUAGUCGGAUGUAUUCGGCUUCGCGCCGGGAAAUUUCCCAAACCAAAUCAUCUAGAGGAAGUAAAAGUCGUAACAAGGUUUCCGUAGGUGAACCUGCGGAAG